rnacentral:rRNA from 1 species
GGCGUGUACUGCUUGGCUGGGCCUUACUUCUUGGUGAGCCGGCGUGCCCUUUAUUGGUGUGCGUCGGGGAACCAGGACUUUUACCUUGAGAAAAUUAGAGUGUUCAAAGCAGGCCUAUGCCUGAAUACAUUAGCAUGGAAUAAUAGAAUAGGACGUGCGGUUCUAUUUUGUUGGUUUCUAGAGUCGCAGUAAUGAUUAAUAGGGACAGUUGGGGGCAUUGGUAUUGAGUCGCUAGAGGUGAAAUUCUUGGAUUGACUCAAGACCGACUAUUGCGAAAGCAUUUGCCAAGGAUGUUUUCAUUAAUCAAGAACGAAGGUUAGGGGAUCGAAAACGAUCAGAUACCGUUGUAGUCUUAACAGUAAACUAUGCCGACUAGGGAUCGGAUGACCUCAAAAUUGAUGUGUCAUUCGGCACCUUACGAGAAAUCAAAGUCUUUGGGUUCUGGGGGAGUAUGGUCGCAAGGCUGAAACUUAAAGGAAUUGACGGAAGGGCACCCCCAGGUGUGGAGCCUGCGGCUUAAUUUGACUCAACACGGGGAAACUCACCAGGUCCAGACAUAACUAGGAUUGACAGAUUGAUAGCUCUUUCAUGAUUUUAUGGGUGGUGGUGCAUGGCCGUUCUUAGUUGGUGGAGUGAUUUGUCUGGUUAAUUCCGAUAACGAACGAGACCUUAACCUGCUAAAUAGCCAGGCCGGCUUCGGCUGGUCUCUGGCUUCUUAGAGGGACUGGUCAG